rnacentral:rRNA from 1 species
UUAAAUUGAAGAGUUUGAUCAUGGCUCAGAUUGAACGCUGGCGGCAGGCCUAACACAUGCAAGUCGAACGGUAACAGGAAGCAGCUUGCUGCUUCGCUGACGAGUGGCGGACGGGUGAGUAAUGUCUGGGAAACUGCCUGAUGGAGGGGGAUAACUACUGGAAACGGUGGCUAAUACCGCAUAACGUCGCAAGACCAAAGAGGGGGACCUUCGGGCCUCUUGCCAUCAGAUGUGCCCAGAUGGGAUUAGCUAGUUGGUGAGGUAACGGCUCACCAAGGCGACGAUCCCUAGCUGGUCUGAGAGGAUGACCAGCCACACUGGAACUGAGACACGGUCCAGACUCCUACGGGAGGCAGCAGUGGGGAAUAUUGCACAAUGGGCGCAAGCCUGAUGCAGCCAUGCCGCGUGUAUGAAGAAGGCCUUCGGGUUGUAAAGUACUUUCAGCGGGGAGGAAGGUGUUGUGGUUAAUAACCGCAGCAAUUGACGUUACCCGCAGAAGAAGCACCGGCUAACUCCGUGCCAGCAGCCGCGGUAAUACGGAGGGUGCAAGCGUUAAUCGGAAUUACUGGGCGUAAAGCGCACGCAGGCGGUCUGUCAAGUCGGAUGUGAAAUCCCCGGGCUCAACCUGGGAACUGCAUUCGAAACUGGCAGGCUUGAGUCUUGUAGAGGGGGGUAGAAUUCCAGGUGUAGCGGUGAAAUGCGUAGAGAUCUGGAGGAAUACCGGUGGCGAAGGCGGCCCCCUGGACAAAGACUGACGCUCAGGUGCGAAAGCGUGGGGAGCAAACAGGAUUAGAUACCCUGGUAGUCCACGCCGUAAACGAUGUCUACUUGGAGGUUGUGCCCUUGAGGCGUGGCUUCCGGAGCUAACGCGUUAAGUAGACCGCCUGGGGAGUACGGCCGCAAGGUUAAAACUCAAAUGAAUUGACGGGGGCCCGCACAAGCGGUGGAGCAUGUGGUUUAAUUCGAUGCAACGCGAAGAACCUUACCUGGUCUUGACAUCCACGGAAGUUUUCAGAGAUGAGAAUGUGCCUUCGGGAACCGUGAGACAGGUGCUGCAUGGCUGUCGUCAGCUCGUGUUGUGAAAUGUUGGGUUAAGUCCCGCAACGAGCGCAACCCUUAUCCUUUGUUGCCAGCGGUUAGGCCGGGAACUCAAAGGAGACUGCCAGUGAUAAACUGGAGGAAGGUGGGGAUGACGUCAAGUCAUCAUGGCCCUUACGACCAGGGCUACACACGUGCUACAAUGGCGCAUACAAAGAGAAGCGACCUCGCGAGAGCAAGCGGACCUCAUAAAGUGCGUCGUAGUCCGGAUUGGAGUCUGCAACUCGACUCCAUGAAGUCGGAAUCGCUAGUAAUCGUGGAUCAGAAUGCCACGGUGAAUACGUUCCCGGGCCUUGUACACACCGCCCGUCACACCAUGGGAGUGGGUUGCAAAAGAAGUAGGUAGCUUAACCUUCGGGAGGGCGCUUACCACUUUGUGAUUCAUGACUGGGGUGAAGUCGUAACAAGGUAACCGUAGGGGAACCUGCGGUUGGAUCACCUCCUUACCU